UACGGAGGGUGCAAGCGUUGCUCGGAAUUACUGGGCGUAAAGGGCGUGUAGGCGGUUUCGUAUGUCUGGCGUGAAAGCCCCGGGCUCACCUCGGGAAGUGCGUCGGAAACUGCGAGACUAGAGUCCCGGAGAGGGAGGUGGAAUUCCAGGUGUAGCGGUGAAAUGCGUGGAUAUCUGGAAGAACACCGGUGGCGAAAGCGGCCUCCUGGACGGUGACUGACGCUGAGACGCGAAAGCGUGGGGAGCAAACAGG
rnacentral:rRNA from 1 species